rnacentral:rRNA from 1 species
AAGGAUCAUUAAUGAAUUCACUAUGGAGUUGUUGCUGGCCUCUAGGGGCAUGUGCACGCUUCACUAGUCUUUCAACCACCUGUGAACUUUUGAUAGAUCUGUGAAGUCGUCUUUCAAGUCGUCAGACUUGGUUUGCUGGGAUUUAAACGUCUCGGUGUGACAACGCAGUCUAUUUACUUAACACACCCCAAAUGUAUGUCUACGAAUGUCAUUUAAUGGGCCUUGUGCCUUUAAACCAUAAUACAACUUUCAACAACGGAUCUCUUGGCUCUCGCAUCGAUGAAGAACGCAGCGAAAUGCGAUAAGUAAUGUGAAUUGCAGAAUUCAGUGAAUCAUCGAAUCUUUGAACGCACCUUGCGCCCCUUGGUAUUCCGAGGGGCAUGCCUGUUUGAGUGUCAUUAAAUUCUCAAACUCACUUUGGUUUCUUUCCAAUUGUGAUGUUUGGAUUGUUGGGGGCUGCUGGCCUUGACAGGUCGGCUCCUCUUAAAUGCAUUAGCAGGACUUCUCAUUGCCUCUGCGCAUGAUGUGAUAAUUAUCACUCAUCAAUAGCACGCAUGAAUAGAGUCCAGCUCUCUAAUCGUCCGCAAGGACAAUUUGACAAUUUGACCUCAAAUCAGGUAGGACUACCCGCUGAACUUAA